UCCGAUUUGAAUAUCGGCAGUCUCGCUAGAGUGCCCGGCCGAACCGCUGGCAACUAACGACAAGGGUUGCGCUCGUUGCGGGACUUAACCCAACAUCUCACGACACGGGCUGACGACAGCCAUGCAGCACCUAACUACAGGUUCUCCGAAGAGCACCCCGAUCUUUCAACCAGGUUCCUGCAUUUUCUAGCCCAGGUAAGGUUCUUCGCGUUGCAUCGAAUUAAUCCACAUGCUCCGCCGCUUGUGCGGGCCCCCGUCAAUUUCUUUGAGUUUUAGCCUUGCGGCCGUACUCCCCAGGCGGAAUGCUUAAAGCGUUAGCUGCGCCACUGAGCAGCAAGCUGCCCAACGGCUGGCAUUCAUCGUUUACGGCGUGGACUAC
rnacentral:misc_RNA from 1 species